rnacentral:rRNA from 1 species
UCUUAGCUUGCUAAGGCCGAUGGCGACCGGCGCACGGGUGAGUAACACGUAUCCAACCUGCCGUCUACUCUUGGACAGCCUUCUGAAAGGAAGAUUAAUACAAGAUGGCAUCAUGAGUCCGCAUGUUCACAUGAUUAAAGGUAUUCCGGUAGACGAUGGGGAUGCGUUCCAUUAGAUAGUAGGCGGGGUAACGGCCCACCUAGUCUUCGAUGGAUAGGGGUUCUGAGAGGAAGGUCCCCCACAUUGGAACUGAGACACGGUCCAAACUCCUACGGGAGGCAGCAGUGAGGAAUAUUGGUCAAUGGGCGAGAGCCUGAACCAGUCAAGUAGCGUGAAGGAUGACUGCCCUAUGGGUUGUAAACUUCUUUUAUAAAGGAAUAAAGUCGGGUAUGCAUACCCGUUUGCAUGUACUUUAUGAAUAAGGAUCGGCUAACUCCGUGCCAGCAGCCGCGGUAAUACGGAGGAUCCGAGCGUUAUCCGGAUUUAUUGGGUUUAAAGGGAGCGUAGAUGGAUGUUUAAGUCAGUUGUGAAAGUUUGCGGCUCAACCGUAAAAUUGCAGUUGAUACUGGAUAUCUUGAGUGCAGUUGAGGCAGGCGGAAUUCGUGGUGUAGCGGUGAAAUGCUUAGAUAUCACGAAGAACUCCGAUUG